GAUCCAAACCAAACCCGCAGAGUUGGGAAAGACUAGUUUGGGGAGCUACAGUCACCGAGAGAGCUGAGACAUGAUUUCCUCAGGCUAUCAUACCGAGUACCACAGACCAGGGGGACUUCAACUCAGGAAGGACAGCAGUCAUACCAGAUGAGGAGUCCACCCUGCUCCAGCACAGCCUCAUGUUAACUAAUUAUAUCUGCAACCACCUUAGCUCCAAAUGAAGUCACAUUCUGAGGCAAAGAACCAUGAAACCACACAAGGAUGGAGACAGGAGAUGCCCCAGCUGGUGGACCCCCAGCUAGGCCCCACUGCUCCUAAAGUAGACUCUGGCAUACAACCUGCCUCUCUGAGGGUGAAACAGGGUCCAGUGGAGCUGAGAAGCCAGAGAAAUACCAGCCACUGAUGGAACCGAACACAGAGAGAGUGGUGUGACCACCACAGAGAAGAGGAGGAGGGCCUACGGAGCCUUCAGAGAGCUCAGAGGUGGCCAUGCCUGGUGAAGACAGCAGGAGACAAACAGGCCAGAGGGCAGGAACAGAGGAAACUAAACCCAUCUGCACCAAAGCCACCGUGCCAUCGUGAAUGCUGUCUGGAGACAGUCCUCGUCCAAACCCAUCAGCACUCCCCACACUCACCAGUCAGGGAUACCUGGAUCUCAUAGCCCCCCAGAGAACAUGACAUAUGGGACUGGGCAGGUCCUGGGUUAAUCAUGGGACUCAUUUUGGAAAAAAUGAACUUACUUCUAGAGGACAUUCAAGAGUAGCCCCAAGUGAACACAAUAAAAUGACAAAGACCUGAGUUUAAGUAACCAUACACGAAUAGAAGAACCAGCACCACCUCUGAGCAAAAGUCUCCACAUUCUAUGGGCUGGCACCAUCCCAUCUGCCUUCUAGAAGCAGAGUUUCUGGAAAAAUCUAUCACCAAAGACUAUUCGUAAAUACAAAUCACCUAAGCAGAGACUGUACUAUCCUGCAGUUAGUCAUUAGUGCCUUACAGGGAAGCAAAUUGCAGCCUAGGUGGCCAUGGAGCACAGAGGAGGGUCAGCAGAACCUGAGAGAAGCCCCCCAGUCCAGACAGGGCCAGAAGAGGAGCUCCUCCCAAACCAUGGGGCCAUGAACUCACUGCCUGAGAAGGGACACAACUGGACAGCACAUCUGUUUGUGUGUCUCAAUAAAUACAUGAGCAACACAUACA